AGCAGAGACGGAGGCCACUGGGCACAGGAGAGAUUUGGGAUGGAGAGCUGGUGAGCCUUUCUCUGUUCUCCACAUCUGAAAGUCUGGCUUUAGGCACAAUAUUUAUGAACUUUAGCAAUAUGCACAAAUCAAAUGAGCUGAAAAAUCAGACCAGGCAGAUAAAAGUAAAAUCAUCUUACUGAAAUUCCUGGAAACAACAGUUUCAGCCAUUUGACAUAUAAACUAGAAGAUUUGGUGCCCAGCAUGAAGAAUAGUUCCUUUCAAGUACCUGUAUGUCCUGAAUGUAUUCCUUCCAGUGGGUUCUUGGUCUCGCUGACUUCAAGAAUGAAGCCUUGGACCCUCGUGAUAUGUGCUCACCCUUCUCUGCUCAGCUCUGUGCCUGGGAGGCUGACCUCUACAAACUGCAUCACCAGGCUUCCGCCCUCUGGCUUCCAGAUGGAUUUGGCCAAUGGGCAGCACCAGUGGGAAAGGAGAGGACAGGAGGAGAGACAGGCUGAGGCCUCCCUCCUCCUGUGUCCCUGACAUACAGUGACAGUGCUGCCCUGCAGCUCAGGAUGGAUGCAGUCAAGGACGACAGCGCAUGUCCAAAAAAGCUGUCUGCUGAACAUUUGCCCAGCAGAUUUUAGAAAGAAAGGAAACAUCUUAGUGAUUUUCUUGCCUCCAGAAGAUUCCCUGAUCCAAUCUUUCCUUGGCACAAACUUUUAGUUAUUGUGUUUACAUAUACAUUUUAUAUAUGUGUGGUCAUUAUUGUAUCUGUUUUAUUUGGGGACUUUAUCUUGAUGUGUGUUAUACCUAAUACACUGCAAUAUAAAUUAUGUAAUUAUGUGCUUUUUUUUUUUGAGAUGGAGUCUCGUUCUGUCACCCAUGCUGGAGUGCAGUGGUGUGAUCUCGGCUCACUGCAACCUCCACCUUCUGGGUUCAAGUGAUUCUGCUGCUUCUGCGUCUCAAGUAGCUGGGACUACAGGCGCCUGCCACCACACUCAGCUAAUUUUUUUUUUUUUUUUUUAAGUAGAGGUGGGGCUUCACCAUGUUGGCCAGGCUGCUUUCGAACUCCUGACGUCAGGUGAUCCACCCACCUCAGCCUCACAAAGUCCUGGAUUACAGGCAUGAGCCACCACACCCGCCCUGUGCUUUCAAUAAGUACUUUCUCACUGCUUACUGACUGAUACCCCUAGCUUUUGUAUCAUGAGGAAAAAGAGGCAUAAGAGAAUGAAUCCCUGGCCCCAGUAUCAGUCAGGAUUUAAUCAGAAAACAGAAGUCAUGCUAGGUUUUUGAUGAGUUGGAGAGAGUUGAAAGAGGAAUUAAGGCUUGCACAACCAUUAGAAGGGCUGGGUAAGGAAAGGUCAGACGGUUGCUCUUAGGGCAUCUGAAAUGCAGAGAUCUCAAGAGAAAUUGGGGCUUCUGUUGUGAUCAAGUUGCCCAUAGCAGGUGCUUCUCAGCAGGACCCUGAGAAGCUGAGGCUCUGAGUAACCGCCUGUAGCUGGCACUAAAGAAAAAUGGCUUCUCCUUUUCUGCCUCAGAUGUUUCACGGGGGUGCCUCUCACUGGACAAAUGUAACCUCGAGGCACAUAGGAAAAGAACUGGGUAGUGAGGUUUCUGGUUUUCCUCCAAGAUGGAGAAGAGUGGAGGGCUGGGGAGCAUGAGUCACAAUGAAGUUGAACUAUCAACAGACCACCCAGAAACAAAACCUCCCAUAUAUUAAUGAAAAAUAAAAAAAGCAAACAGCAAUUGAUAAACAAAUGUAUUUAAGUUAUACCAAGGGCAAGAUUGCUCUGUCAAAAAGCAUUUGAUAAUCAGUUAAUUGGUGAGUGUCUGCUAUGCAGAAUUAGAGGCAGUUAUUUUUUUGUUUGUUUGUUUUUGUUUUAGAUUAUUUCUUGCUCAAAACUCACUCAGGUUCCUGGGCUAUAAUACUUGAGCCAGACAGAGCAGCUUUGAUCUCACUGGCAGUUUGUUUAGAAGCCUGAGAUCUGGAGUGGCUUUCUAAAAUCUUCAGCUCUAAAAACCAAUACAGUUUAGUAAAAAUCUAUACAUUUGCUUGCAAUAGUCUCAAGUACAUAGUAAAAUGACAGAAAUGAUUUCAACCAAGAAAUUAGCCAUUUUCUUCCUCUUGAUUUAAGAAGGGAGAAAUAGCUUUGGAGGGAAGUGGCAAUAUUUCUAAAUUUACACACAAAUUCACACCGACAGUAUGCUCCUAAUGGUUGCCACAUUUAGAGCUAACCUGGUUUUCUGAGAUUGAUCUGGGAUGGAAGGAGAAAGAACAGCUAACUGACCGGAAGCUAAACGCCACAAGGCAAAGCCUCUUUGUUAGAAGCUGAAGAUUAUCAUAUUUCUAGGGGAGGCUGGAUGCUUUGGUUAAGAGAGACCUAGUUAUGAAUCCAGCCUUCUAAAGACCUCCAGGGAGAACUCUGCAAGUCUCCUCAGGGCAGGGGUUCUGGGAGUUUCUAGGUUCUUGCAAUUCCUGCAAGCAAACACAUCAACACACAAAAAAGCACUGGGAAUUCAGAGUCCCAGAGAAGGACAUUUGGGUACAUCCCUCAAGGUUAAAAUUUGCUGGAAACUUUGAUAAGAUAUUUGGAUGUGGAGAAGACUGGGGAAGUGUUAAGUAAAGGAAUAUGAAGUUGGGAGUCAAUUAUUCAUUAUUUUCCCUAUUCCUCUCACCCAUUAGCAUCAAUAAUUGAAAAAGAACCAUCCAUGUGUGUAUGGGGAAGGCAGUAGGCUUAGAGGCUGCUAAUAACAAUUUAGUAAAUGAGGCCAAAAAUGGGGCUCUGCAGGCAACAAGCUUGACUGGGUAGAGCCAGGCCACCUCAAAGCUGAGGCUUUAACCACCAUGGCCUGCCAUCUGCAGCACAUGACUCACUGCAUCUUUAAGCAAGACUUUGCCCAAAUAAGUACCUUCCACUUUGGUUCUAUAUUGCUGCCACCAGUGUAACUACUCUGCUGCCUUUCCUAGGGGUGGGGACAAGCUACCUCCUUGAGUUUGAGGCUUGAGCCUACCUUUGUACCUGUGGUCCUUAAGAGGUGCUGUCCUUCUCAUUUAGCUCAUACAAAGUGACUCGGGCAUCCUGCAGCAUCCCUGUACAGGUAUCAGCCCAGUCCACACUGCUAAUUGCACCCAUUUUCUUCAAAGUCCAUCUGUUUACUUAAGCAUGUUGGUGCUCAUGCUCAAUGUGCAAGGUAAUAUAGAUUGAUAUGGAUUCUUUGGGAUUUUUAGUUAAGUGGUUUCUGCUUGUGACAUUCUUUCCUUUUUUCUUUCUUUCUUUCUUUUUUUUGAGACGGAGUCUCUGUCGCCAGGCUGGAGUGCAGUGGCAUGAUCUCAGCUAGGCUCACUGCAACCUCCGUCUCCCGGGUUCAAGCAAUUCUCCUGCCUCAGCCUCCCAUGUAGCUGGGAUUACAGGCGCAUGCCACCAUGCCCAGCUAGUUUUUUUGUAUUUUUUUUUUAGUAGAGACGGGGUUUCACCAUAUUGGUCAGGCUGGUCUUGAACUCCUGACCUUGUGAUCUGCCCGCCUCGGCCUCCCAAAGUGCUGGGAUUACAGGCAUGAGCCACCACGCCUGACCUGCUUGUGACAUUAUUUUCUGCCUUUUAAAUACAAAUAGAAGUAUACAAAAGCAUAUACCUCAGUGCUUCAGGGAGAAAAGUGUGUUAGAUAAAUAGACUACCUGUAAGGAAGACUUAGUAUAAUGACAAGCAUGACUGCUUGGUAUAUUCAGAAUUUUGAUGUGUGACAAAUAAUGUGUGUCAUUCUUUGAAAUAUAAAUGUUAGAGCUUCUUAUGUUAAAAGAAGCCAUCCUAACCAAAUAAUACUCUAGGCUUUCAGUGUACCUAUAAACAUGUUCAUCUGGUGGGAAUUAAGAGAUAUGCCAAAAAACAGAUUUGAAUUUGAGCAAAAGAAUAGCAAUACAUUAACUGCUAUAUUAUAGAGUUUGUAAAGAUUGCUAUAGUGAUUAUCAGUGCUUCACGGUGUCAUUAUUGGCUUCACUAUUAAAGAUAUUGCUGUGAAAAUGAAAAUU
rnacentral:lncRNA from 1 species